GAUGAAGAACGUAGUGAAAUGCGAUACUUGGUGUGAAUUGCAGAAUCCCGUGAACCAUCGAGUCUUUGAACGCAAGUUGCGCCCGAAGCCAUCAGGUUGAGGGCACGUCUGCCUGGGCGUCACAUAUCGUUGCCCAAUGCCUAUUGCAGUGCAAUAGGAAUUUCUAGGGCGAAUGAUGGCUUCCCGUGAGCGUUGUUGCCUCGCGGUUGGUUGAAAAUCGAGUCCUUGGUAGGGUGUGCCAUGGUAAAUGGUGGUCGAGUUAGAACGAUACCGAUCAUGUGCAUGCUCCCCAAAAUAUGGCCUCUAUGACCCACACGCGUCUUUUGACGCUCAUGACGAGACCUCAGGUCAGGCGGGGCUACCCGCUGAAUUUAAGCAUAUCAAUAAGCGGAGGA
rnacentral:misc_RNA from 1 species